UGUACUGUACAACACCGAAAGAGUCUGCACAAAAAGUUGACUCCAAGGUUUUUACACCCAGUCACAGGUGAGCUCGAUCCCGCAUCUCAAGUUCGCUGGAUCACUAUCCUGACACCUCAGACAGCUGCCCACCACGCCCGUUAACAGUAAAAGACGGAAGAUGAUGCCGCCACUUCCCCAG